rnacentral:lncRNA from 1 species
GUGAGGAACCCUUGGCCAAGACCCACCAGAAGUUGAUUCUCUCUUCUUUUCUACUGUGAUGUCCACUUUUCUGAAUCAACUAGAGAGACUCCUGGUCCUGGAAUGGGCAAGAAUAGAACAUCACCCUUCUAGGGACAAGCCAGGUGGGGAGGCAGGACUUAGAGUAGGCACAAGGAUUUCCAUGCGAAGAUCUCGGAGCAUGAGUCCAGGUGUGGCAGAGGGCUCCAGGGAAACUCCCCAGUGCAGUGACCAGCGGCCGAGGACUGGAUGCUGAGUGGGACCUGUGUGGGCAGACAGGCCCUGAGCACUGGUUCCCCAUCUGCCUCCCCGUGGCAGGUGGAUGAGCCGGACCUUUCCUCGUGGGGGCUGAUCUUAGAGCAGUGCUGAGCCCCCGAGAGCCUCCGAGCAGGGCCUGGAGUGGGGCUCUGGCCUCAGGAAGCAGAAUCCUGCCUGAGAAGCUCAGAAGCAUCUGUACGUCUGAGAAGGUGCGUGUUUCUUGAGCAGAGGACAGUGAUGGAAGAAAUCCAUGGUGGGUCUCACACAGAAAAUCCUUAUGUUCUUCAAAGAAGGAAGACAGCAAAUAUCCAUUUUAUGUUCAAAAGGGAAGAAAGACCACAGAGCUCCAGGAGUUCAGUAUAGAAGGUCCUCUUGCUCAUGGACACUGAGCGUCUGCAGCUGGCCUAGACAGAGGAGAGGGAGCCCUGGGUCUCAGCCCCUGGUGUCUUUUGUUUUUUCUUGCUUCUCAGCAUCAAGAGCAGCCGAGAGGGAGGAGCAGCAGGAGUAGGAGGAAAAGUGGAAUUUUGCAAGGGACAUUCUUGCAGCCUCCUGUAAGACCCCUAGGCUCCUGCCUUCAGCACGGUGACCCAGUCUCCUGAUUUCCAGCUUACAGAGAUGGUCGGAAAGGACUAGAAGUGCAGGGCCUGAUUUCUGUUCCACAAAGGUCAAGAAUCUUUUCAUCUCUCCUGGGUCCUUCUUUCUCCCAGAACCUCUGAUGUGACUCCAGGGCUGUAGGCAGCUUGGGGCUGAGCUGGGAGGGGGCCAUGGGGACAGGGUGUGGCUAAAGGCCUGGGGUGAGGGACAACAGGAGAAUUUUGUGACUUGAGGGUUGAGGCUGUGGAGGGCCGUGGCCCUUAAUGGCCACACUGCCUGGCCUGCCCAGCCCUCCUGGGGCCCUCUGCUCCUGGCUGCAGCUUGUGCCUCCUGUCUCCUGCAGUUCCUGGGGAGGCUCUCUCACAAGGCUGGCUUUCAUUGGCUGUCAUGUCCAGACUCCCCUGGGGAGGUCCGCAAAACAGCAUAUGCUGAGCCCAUCAGCCAUGCAGGGAGCCUGUGGAAGAUGCUGCCCUCGCCAUGUCGCCAGCAGUUCCCCUGGCUCCUCUGACCGAGCACCCCCGACCUCUUCCAUGGUCCACUUUCCCUCCUCAGCCACCUGUGAAUCUGGGGCCUCUCGGAAGCCAACUUUACCAAGUUCUUGAGAAAACCUCUUCAG